rnacentral:rRNA from 1 species
AGUCACUGACAUUAGAUACCCGGUAGUCCCAGCCGUAAACUAUGCGCGUUAGGUGUACUGGUGACCACGAGUCACCGGGGUGCCGAAGGGAAACCGUGAAACGUGCUACUUGGGGAGUACGUCCGCAAGGAUGAAACUUAAAGGAAUUGGCGGGGGAGCACCGCAACGGGAGGAGCGUGCGGUUUAAUUGGAUUCAACACCGUAAAACUCACCAGGGAAGACUGUUACAUGAAGGCCGAGAUGAAGACUCUGCUAGAUUUUCAG